GACGAACGCUGGCGGCGUGCUUAACACAUGCAAGUCGAACGGAAAGGCCCUGCUUUUGUGGGGUGCUCGAGUGGCGAACGGGUGAGUAACACGUGAGUAACCUGCCCUUGACUUUGGGAUAACUUCAGGAAACUGGGGCUAAUACCGGAUAGGAGCUCCUGCUGCAUGGUGGGGGUUGGAAAGUUUCGGCGGUUGGGGAUGGACUCGCGGCUUAUCAGCUUGUUGGUGGGGUAGUGGCUUACCAAGGCUUUGACGGGUAGCCGGCCUGAGAGGGUGACCGGCAACAUUGGGACUGAGAUACGGCCCAGACGCCAACGGGAGGCAGCAGUGGGGAGUAUUGCACAAUGGGGGGAAGCCAGAUGCAGCAACGCCGCGUGCGGGAUGACGGCCUUCGGGUUGUAAACCGCUUUCGCCGGUGACGAAGCGUGAGUGACGGUAAUGGAUAAAGAAGCACCGGCUAACUACGUG
rnacentral:rRNA from 1 species